rnacentral:rRNA from 1 species
GUCAGCAGCCAGCAUGGGAAUAACAGGAUCUCAUCUGAUCUCAGGAGCUAAGUCGGGUCAGGUCUGGUCAGUACUUGGAAAGGAGACUGGUUGGGAAUACAGGUGCUGUAGACC